AGUGAACGCUGGCGGUAGGCCUAACACAUGCAAGUCGAACGGCAGCACAGUAAGAGCUUGCUCUUACGGGUGGCGAGUGGCGGACGGGUGAGGAAUACAUCGGAAUCUACUUUUUCGUGGGGGAUAACGUAGGGAAACUUACGCUAAUACCGCAUAUGACCUACGGGUGAAAGCAGGGGAUCUUCGGACCUUUCGCGAUUGAAUGAGCCGCUUUCGGAGUAGCUAGUUGGCGGGGUAAAGGCCCACCAAGGCGACGAUCCGUAGCUGGUCUGAGAGGAUGGUCAGCCACACUGGAACUGAGACACGGGCCAGACACCUACGGGAGGCAGCAGUGGGGAAUAUUGGACAAGGGGCGCAAGCCUGAUCCAGCCAUACCGCGGGGGUGAAGAAGGCCUUCGGGUUGUAAAGCCCUUUUGUUGGGAAAGAAAAGCAGCAGGUUAAUACCCCGCUGUUCGGACGGUACCCAAAGAAAAAGCACCGGCUAACUUCUU
rnacentral:rRNA from 1 species